UUGAUCCUGGCUCAGGACGAACGCUGGCGGCACGCUUAACACAUGCAAGUCGAACGAGAGAAGAGAAGCUUGCUUUUCUGAUCUAGUGGCGGACGGGUGAGUAACACGUGAGCAAUCUGCCUUUCAGAGGGGGAUACCGAUUGGAAACGAUCGUUAAUACCGCAUAACAUAAUUGAACCGCAUGAUUUGAUUAUCAAAGAUUUAUCGCUGAAAGAUGAGCUCGCGUCUGAUUAGCUAGUUGGUAAGGUAACGGCUUACCAAGGCGACGAUCAGUAGCCGGACUGAGAGGUUGAUCGGCCACAUUGGGACUGAGACACGGCCCAGACUCCUACGGGAGGCAGCAGUGGGGAAUAUUGCACAAUGGAGGAAACUCUGAUGCAGCGAUGCCGCGUGAGGGAAGAAGGUUUUAGGAUUGUAAACCUCUGUCUUCAGGGACGAAAAAAGACGGUACCUGAGGAGGAAGCUCCGGCUAACUACGUGCCAGCAGCCGCGGUAAUACGUAGGGAGCGAGCGUUGUCCGGAAUUACUGGGUGUAAAGGGAGCGUAGGCGGGAUCGCAAGUCAGAUGUGAAAACUAUGGGCUUAACCCAUAAACUGCAUUUGAAACUGUGGUUCUUGAGUGAAGUAGAGGUAAGCGGAAUUCCUAGUGUAGCGGUGAAAUGCGUAGAUAUUAGGAGGAACAUCAGUGGCGAAGGCGGCUUACUGGGCUUUAACUGACGCUGAGGCUCGAAAGCGUGGGGAGCAAACAGGAUUAGAUACCCUGGUAGUCCACGCCGUAAACGAUGAUUACUAGGUGUGGGGGGACUGACCCCUUCCGUGCCGCAGCAAACGCAAUAAGUAAUCCACCUGGGGAGUACGACCGCAAGGUUGAAACUCAAAGGAAUUGACGGGGGCCCGCACAAGCAGUGGAGUAUGUGGAUUAAUUCGAAGCAACGCGAAGAACCUUACCAGGUCUUGACAUCGUAUGCAUAGCUCAGAGAUGAGUGAAAUCUCUUCGGAGACAUAUAGACAGGUGGUGCAUGGUUGUCGUCAGCUCGUGUCGUGAGAUGUUGGGUUAAGUCCCGCAACGAGCGCAACCCUUACUGUUAGUUGCUACGCAAGAGCACUCUAGCAGGACUGCCGUUGACAAAACGGAGGAAGGUGGGGAUGACGUCAAAUCAUCAUGCCCCUUAUGACCUGGGCCUCACACGUACUACAAUGGCUGUUAACAGAGGGAUGCAAAGCCGCGAGGUGGAGCGAACCCCUAAAAGCAGUCUUAGUUCGGAUUGUAGGCUGCAACCCGCCUACAUGAAGUCGGAAUUGCUAGUAAUCGCAGAUCAGCAUGCUGCGGUGAAUACGUUCCCGGACCG
rnacentral:rRNA from 1 species